UGGGUAUCUAAAGACCUGGCCCAGCAUGAUCGUCAUCUAGCCAGUUUGGGGUACCUUGCUAAAGCCAAACAGUGUUCCUAUCCCCAGGUACCUGCCUCAUCUAGGGCACUCCAUGGGUGACUGUCCCCCACCUGGACACUGGACUGGAGCCACACUCACAGAACUGGUUUGGAGCCAAACAAUGGUGCGUCACAGUCCAGCUGAACAGGAGGCCUCAGCCGGGAAGAAUCCUAAAGCAUAAUACCUUUGUAGAGUGGGCCAGCUCAGCCCAGAGCCUCCCAGCAGCUCCCGGAUCUAAGAGAAGAUUGGGUCAACCAAGAAUCACAAAGCCGGCCCCUCCCUGCACAGGCUGCCUACAGAGGCUUAGAAAACCUGCCCAGCCUAGUAAUGAAAACUUGUGCCCUGGACACGGUCUCUGCCGUCCUCCCACAGGGUUUGGCCUUGUGACCACACUCUCCUCUGUCCUGCAGGCUGCCUGGGCCCCAUCACUCACUCAAUAGGCUCCUGAAGGCCCUGGUUUUCCCCCUGCCCAGGGAUAGGUGGCCCCAGACCCAGUGCACAGAGAUGCUUCCCCAGCCCCUUUCCUGGAAGUCUCCAGCAAGAGAAACUCAGUGACCUGACUGCAACAAUGAAGCCUCUCUUGAUGACAACCAGCAGCCUUCCUGUGUCUGCUGUCCACCUUCCUGCUGUCUCUGAGCCUGGUUCCUCCUCUUCCAUCUUUCUUAACAACCUCUCAGAAGGCUCAAGGGGGAGGAGCCUUGCCCUUCAGUCCCCAUGUUCUUCUCUGCCCGAUAACUAACUCUGAGCCUGCGAUCCUGCUGGGCACCAGACACCACAGACAGCAUCAGGAUGGGGCUCGUUCCUUCCACCUGCAUCUCCCUUGUUAAAGAUGGACAAACACCAGUGAUGUCAGAUGAGGGCUGAGCUCAUGCCAGGGGCGCCAGAGAUAGUUAGAUGGUGAAUGGCCAUGGGUGCGCCUAAACCCAGCCAGUGUUCCGGCCCCAACCAUUCCCGGGCCCUGCCGAUUCUCUCAUUAAACAAGUAUUUCCUGAAGUCUGUGGUACAUGCUCGAAAACAUUUUUUAAAAAGUCCCUCCAAACAAGUAAAAAAUGAUGGAACUGGGUGGUGCCUGUGGCUAAAAGAGUAGGGUGCCGGCCCCAUAUACCGGAGGUGGCGGGUUCAAAUCCGGCCCGGGCCACAAACAGCAAA